rnacentral:rRNA from 1 species
GUAGGGUGGCAAGCGUUGUCCGGAAUUAUUGGGCGUAAAGCGCGCGCAGGUGGUUCUUUAAGUCUGGGUGUGAAAGCCCCCGGGCUCAACCGGGGAGGGUCAUUGGAAACUGGGGAACUUGAGUGCAGGAGAGGAAAGUGGAAUUCCACGUGUAGCGGUGAAACGCGUAGAUAUGUGGAGGAACACCAGUGGCGAAGGCGACUUUCUGGCCUGUAACUGACACUGAGGCGCGAAAGCGUGGGGAGCAAACAGGAUUAGAUACCCUGGUAGUCCACGCCGUAAACGAUGAGUGCUAAGUGUUGGGGGGUUUCCGCCCCUCAGUGCUGCAGCUAACGCAUUAAGCACUCCGCCUGGGGAGUACGGUCGCAAGACUG